UACGAAGGGUGCAAGCGUUAAUCGGAAUUACUGGGCGUAAAGGGUGCGUAGGCGGUUGUUUAAGUCUGUCGUGAAAUCCCCGGGCUCAACCUGGGAAUGGCGAUGGAUACUGGACAGCUAGAGUGUGUCAGAGGAUGGUGGAAUUCCCGGUGUAGCGGUGAAAUGCGUAGAGAUCGGGAGGAACAUCAGUGGCGAAGGCGGCCAUCUGGGACAACACUGACGCUGAAGCACGAAAGCGUGGGGAGCAAACGGG
rnacentral:rRNA from 1 species